GACGAACGCUGGCGGCGUGCUUAACACAUGCAAGUCGAACGGAAAGGCCCUGCUUUUGUGGGGUGCUCGAGUGGCGAACGGGUGAGUAACACGUGAGUAACCUGCCCUUGACUUUGGGAUAACUUCAGGAAACUGGGGCUAAUACCGGAUAGGAGCCCCUGCUGCAUGGUGGGGGUUGGAAAGUUUCGGCGGUUGGGGAUGGACUCGCGGCUUAUCAGCUUGUUGGUGGGGUAGUGGCUUACCAAGGCUUUGACGGGUAGCCGGCCUGAGAGGGUGACCGGCCACAUUGGGACUGAGAUACGGCCCAGACUCCUACGGGAGGCAGCAAUGGGGAAUAUUGCACAAUGGGCGGAAGCCUGAUGCAGCAACGCCGCGUGCGGGAUGACGGCCUUCGGGUUGUAAACCGCUUUCGCCUGUGACGAAGCGUGAGUGACGGUAAUGGGUAAAGAAGCACCGGCUAACUACGUG
rnacentral:rRNA from 1 species